rnacentral:rRNA from 1 species
AUGAGGUCCUGCGUGAGAGCGGGGACGGUGAAGCGGGUGAUACUCACAUCUUCAGACGCCGCGGUGUCGAGGAGACCCCUGCACGGCGGCGGACACGUGCUGGACGAGAGCUCCUGGUCCGAUGUUGAGUAUCUCAGAGCCAACAAGCCACCAACUUGGGGAUACGCGGUGUCCAAGGUGCUUCUGGAGAAGGCGGCCAACGAAUUCGCGGAGGAGAACAACAUGAGCCUUGUCACCAUGUUGCCCGUGUACACCUUGGGUGCGUCGCCGGAUUCCAAGGCCAGAACCAGCGUCCCCAUCACCCUUUCCCUGUUAUCCGGCGACGAGGCACAGCUGGGCGUCCUGUUAGGCCUGCAGGCGGUCACAGAUGACUCCCUGGCGAUAUGCCAUGUGGACGACCUCUGUCGUGCCAAGGUGUUCGUCGCCGAGAAUGAGUCCUCGGCAGGAAGGUACAUCUGCUGCAGCAACAACACCACCAUCCUGCAACUUGCUCAUCUCCUUGCGGAGAAGUGCCCACAAUACAACUUGAAACCCGAACGCUUUGAUGGGUACCCAGAGAAGCCGAGAGUGUGUCUGUCGUCCGAGAAGCUCAUCGGGGAAGGAUUCACGUUCAAGUACAAUGACCUGAGUGAAAUCUUCGAUGACCUCGUCGAGUACGGCAGGACCACAGGGAUUCUUCCCUACUGA